CAGAAAGCCUGUCUUAACUGAAGCUCCAGCCAUUUUGGGCUAUAAUUUCAGCUUUAGAAUAAUCAAUGAAAAUCUAACUAAUUCAGACUCCCAGUCUCCAGAAUACAAAGCAGCAGUGGAAAGCAUCAGUAACAAGAUGAACCAACUAUAUCAUCAGAGCAAUCUGCAAGAUCACUUCCUGAACUGCAGUGUCACAAGGCUAAGGCCUGGAUCCAUAGUGGUUGACUGCAAGUGUUUCUUCCAGCCAGAGCCCAGCAUCAACAGGGCUGCGGUUGAAAGGGCUUUUCAGGAUGGGAUUUCACAUGCGACUGGGCUGCGGCUGGGAAGCAGUUACCAGCUGCAAGGAUUCUCAGUAGACAGCUUAGAACUAGCAAUUGAGGCAGCAACUCACAGAACACCCCUCCAAUCUGAGAAAGAAAGCUUCAGAUUAAACUUCAGUAUCACCAACCUUCACUACUCUCCAGCACUGCAGGACACCAAGUCACAGUUGUCCAAAGUGAACAAGCAGAAGAUUGAGAAGGAGGUAAAGCUAAUAACAGUAGUUUAGACUGAAUCCUCUUGUCCAAAUUAAAGCUGU
rnacentral:lncRNA from 1 species